GUAUAAAACUGUUUGGGAAUUUACUUUUUGUUUUGUUUUUUGUUGUUUGUUUUUUUUUUUUAAAUAUGUUUUAUUUAAAAUCUUUUCUCUGUUGCAUGCAACUGCGAACUGGUUGCAUUAUUUUAGGUAUUUUUUGGAUUUUUGAUUCUCUGACUAGCGCACUCACACUCACACAGAAAAAGGGAAAUUGCGUAAUUGGCAUGCGUAUUAUGGCCUUUUUGGAAUUCAUUAAUUUGAUUGGCGCUUUUAUGGCUACUGUUGGUGCUUUUAACCGAAAACCUUUAGCAAUUAUCAUCUGGCAAAUUUUAUUCAUUAUUGAUUGCUUCGUCUUCCUCGUGUUCUAUAUCCUUGGGCAAUUUGAAUUUGAAUGUUUUAUUGGGAUUGGCGGAUGUUUUGAUUGCGAAAAUUUGAAAUUGACUGUGUUGAAUAUUCUGUUUGUAUUUACUAUUGCAUAUACUGUGGCGGUAUUCAUAUCGUACAUAAAGCAGCUGUCUGAGGAACAGCAACUAGCUCGAACCCCCAAUGGAAUAAAUGCAUAAAUUGAUGGUCUUUACCGAUGAUAUUCAUUGUCAGUCGUUUUGCCAUUCUCCGAUCGUACGCAUAACAGUAACAAGACACACACACAAUAAAUGGAAAUACAUCUCUCCAUAUAGACAUCGAAA